rnacentral:rRNA from 1 species
GACGAACGCUGGCGGCGUGCUUAACACAUGCAAGUCGAACGGAAAGGCCCUGCUUUUGUGGGGUGCUCGAGUGGCGAACGGGUGAGUAACACGUGAGUAACCUGCCCUUGACUUUGGGAUAACUUCAGGAAACUGGGGCUAAUACCGGAUAGGAGCUCCUGCUGCAUGGUGGGGGUUGGAAAGUUUCGGCGGUUGGGGAUGGACUCGCGGCUUAUCAGCUUGCUGGUGGGGUAGGGGCUUACCAAGGCUUUGACGGGUAGCCCGCCUGAGAGGGUGACCGGGGACAUUGGGACUGAGAUACGGCCCAGACUCCUACGGGAGGCAGCAGUGGGGAGUAUUGCACAAUAGGCGGAAGUCUGAUGCAGCAGCGCCGCGUGCGGGAUGACGGCCUUCGGGGUGUAAACCGCUGUCGCCGGUGACGAGGCGUGAGUGACGGUAAUGGGUAAAGAAGCACCGGCUAACUACGUG